rnacentral:rRNA from 1 species
UACGUAGGGGGCAAGCGUUGUCCGGAUUUAUUGGGCGUAAAGAGCGUGUAGGCGGCUAGAUAGGUCCGUUGUGAAAACUCGAGGCUCAACCUCGAGACGCCGAUGGAAACCAUCUGGCUAGAGUCCGGAAGAGGAGAGUGGAAUUCCUGGUGUAGCGGUGAAAUGCGCAGAUAUCAGGAAGAACACCCGUGGCUAAGGCGGCUCUCUAGUACGGUACUGACGCUGAGACGCGAAAGCGUGGGGAGCGAACAGG